rnacentral:rRNA from 1 species
AGAGUUUGAUUAUGGCUCAGAUUGAACGCUGGCGGCAGGCCUAACACAUGCAAGUCGAGCGGUAGAGAGAAGCUUGCUUCUCUUGAGAGCGGCGGACGGGUGAGUAAUGCCUAGGAAUCUGCCUGGUAGUGGGGGAUAACGUUCGGAAACGGACGCUAAUACCGCAUACGUCCUACGGGAGAAAGCAGGGGACCUUCGGGCCUUGCGCUAUCAGAUGAGCCUAGGUCGGAUUAGCUAGUUGGUGAGGUAAUGGCUCACCAAGGCGACGAUCCGUAACUGGUCUGAGAGGAUGAUCAGUCACACUGGAACUGAGACACGGUCCAGACUCCUACGGGAGGCAGCAGUGGGGAAUAUUGGACAAUGGGCGAAAGCCUGAUCCAGCCAUGCCGCGUGUGUGAAGAAGGUCUUCGGAUUGUAAAGCACUUUAAGUUGGGAGGAAGGGCAGUUACCUAAUACGUGAUUGUUUUGACGUUACCGACAGAAUAAGCACCGGCUAACUCUGUGCCAGCAGCCGCGGUAAUACAGAGGGUGCAAGCGUUAAUCGGAAUUACUGGGCGUAAAGCGCGCGUAGGUGGUUAGUUAAGUUGGAUGUGAAAUCCCCGGGCUCAACCUGGGAACUGCAUUCAAAACUGACUGACUAGAGUAUGGUAGAGGGUGGUGGAAUUUCCUGUGUAGCGGUGAAAUGCUUAUAUGUAGGAAGGAACACCAGUGGCGAAGGCGACCACCUGGACUGAUACUGACACUGACGUGCGAAAUCGUGAGGAGCAAACAGGAUUAGAUACCCUGGUACUCCACGCCGGAAAACGAUGUCAACUAGCCCCUUGGGAGCACUUGAGCUCUUACGUGGCGCAGCGUAAAGCAUUAAGGUUGACCGCCCUGGGGCAGUACGGUCUGCAAGGUUAAAAGCUCUAAUGUAUUUGACGG